CUUCAGCUAUGGUUCAAAUUUCGAACGCCCCACCGCCUUUUGAGUCCGUUAGGAGGAUCGUGGGCGUAAACGGUCGGUUCUUAAUCCUAGCCAUCUAUAUAUUGAUCUCUAAAAUCUGAUUCUUUAAAGAAAGUCUCUUGUUGAUCAUCGUCAGAUUUACGGAGUUUAUCUUCUGGCGUCCUGGUGAUCGGACUCCGAAGUUGGGUUUUGUGGGUUUAGGUUUUACGGUUCAAUUUUGCCGUUUCAUGGGUGGGGGUUAGUGGAGUUUCUGAUUGUUGUUUCUUCCAGGUUCUUUUUGGAAGAUUUAGGGUUCGAUAAUUCAUGUUGGGAUCUCGCCUUGGUCAAUGGUGUUUUAUGAAAGCCCUUCAGUUUGAUCUGAUUGCCGAUCAUGACAAUUGGGAUUCUGGGUGUCGCUGGUUCGUUCGGAAGGAUUAGUCAUUAUUUUCUUAUGGCGGUUGGUCACUUAUAUUGUCACGACGGUAUAAUUUUUCCUGUUUUAUUGUUGGCUUCAUAUCUUCUUGCUUUCUCGAGUUACAGAGGGCUGGAUGCCCGAAUGAUAUGGAUCUACUUGCUUACGAUUGUUAUCGUAUUAGGGCAUUAAUGCAGACCCUACUGUGGCUAAUGCAAUAUUGAUGUAAAUCGUGUGGGUUUCAUACUCCCUGCGGUGGAAUUUUUAUUUUGGGUACUUUCUGUAGUGUGAUUUACACAUGCAGAUGUAAAUACUUCCUCUACGUGUCUCGAGCAUACUGGGGAUUGUUAAAUAAUAUUUUUCAGUGAGGAAGCCAUAUUUCUAUAAGAUGUUUGAUGAACUCUAAUUGGCCCGAGGAAGCAAAAUUUCUAUAAGAUGUUUGAUGAACUCUAAUUGGCCCGAGGAAGCAAUAUUUCCAUAAGAUGUUUGAUGAACACUAAUUGGCCCGAGGAAGGAAGAUUUCUAUAAGAUGUUUGAUGAACUCUAAUUGGCCCGAGGAAGCAAUACUUCCAUAAGAUGUUUGAUGAACUCUAAUUGGCCCGAGGAAGCAAUAUUUCUAUAAGAUGUUUGAUGAACUCUAAUUGGCCCGUGAUUGUGUGUAGUCUUCCAGACUUGUUCUACUUGAUCCAGUAUUUUUCCAAAAUUGUAGUUUCUUUUGAAGAUUUUGUUUUCUACCUUCUAUUUUGCUAUGUUUGUUGGAGUUUUCAUUGCCCUUUACAAUUUGAUGAAGUCCAUUGGGACUGUCAUACUGUAGUCUUCCGGUCUGAUAAUUUUUCCUAAAUAUGUAUGUUAUAUAUAUAUAUAUAUAUAAUUGUUUUUGGACUUUCUAUUUUCUACUCUCUAUUUUGCUAGAUAUGAUGGGUUUUUGAUAACCUUUUCACGUUUUUGGGAACCUUAAUGGGGCUGAAAUUGUGUGGUCGAGCCUUUUCUAUGUGAUUCAUUUAUCUUCUUUUUUUUUUCCCUUCUUCUUCUUCUUUUCUAAAUUUCUGUUUUUUUUUUUUGACAAUUUAAUGAAGUUUAAUAGGGCUGUAGUCUUGUGGUCUUCCAGCCUUUUAUUCAUAUGAUCCAAUAAUUUUUUUUCCGAAAUUUCUUGGGGUGUCCACGGUCAAUUUCGGUUGGUUUUUUGAUAUAAAUUUAGUCAACAGUGCAGUCGGUUAUUUGCGGUUUGGUGGUUUUUCGAUUGGUCCUCACAAGAUACAUUUGACAAUAACCGACCAAACGGUUUGGCGGUCGGUUCAGUUUGGCACGGUUUUUUUUGGACAACCCUAGAAAUUUCUAUAUAUAUUUUUUACGUGCAUGUUUUCCACCUUAUUUUUUGCUACGUAUGAUGGAGUUUUGAUUCCCUUCAUGUAUUCUAUAUGGUCCUUUGAGAGGGAGUUAUACUUAUCCUUCAGUUGUAAUAAGAUUACUUUGGUUAUAGUUGGACGGUGUUCAGUAUAUGCAACUUUGUUUCAGAAGGGUUGCUGUGAGGGUUAUUGGUUUGGUUGUCUUCUUGGAAGUGGCAUGGGAUACCAUUAUCUGAGAGGGAGUCUCUACUGACCCCCUUCUUUAUUUUUACCCUACUGCUUGAAUGCUUACUUAUGCUUUUUUUGACAAUGAAGCUUUUGAGAAAUCUUACUUUGCUUUUGAUAUACUUUCUGAGAUGUGUAUGGUUUAGCCCAUGUACGCAGCUGUUCUAUAGCUGAAGAGAAAAAGGUUGGCAGCACUAAUAUUUCACGGGGGAAAUGAUAUACAUACGGAAAGGUUGGUAGAUAUUCUUCUUGAUUUAAUGGAUGUUUUCUUCAACUUACUGAUCGCUAAUGUAUAUAGCUAUGUUGUAGCAACUUUUUUGCUUAGUAUAUUAUAUGACUUGUUAAACUAUUGAGUCUUGAUAUGGUUUAUGAGUCAUCUUGGAUCGAUUGUUGGCCGUUGCCUUUUUUGUAUGAAAUUAUGGAGAUAGUGCUGUGCCUGAGUUUUAAUAUGGGAAAUUCCUGCUGUCACCUUUGAUUCAGCAAAUGGACAGAACUGUGAUUUAAAUUUGAAUCCUGAAAUCAAUGUCAGUUUUUUGACAUAAAUUUAGCUGACCGUUUGGUUGGUUAUUGGCGGUUUGGUCGGUUUUUUCGGUCGAUCCUCAGUAACUUACAUUUGACAAUAACCAACCAAAUGGUCAGUUUGGCGGUCGGUUCGGUUUGACAUGAUUUUUUGCACAGCCCUAGAAAUUUCUAUAUAUAUAUAUAUAUAUAUAUUUGAUGUUUACGUUUUCCACCUUAUAUUUUUCAACGUAUGAUGGAGUUUUGAUUCCCUUUAUAGUUUCUAUAUGGUCCUUUGAGAGGGAGUUAUACUUGUCCUUCAGUUGUUAUAAAUAAUAUUUAUAUAGUCAGAGUUCCUAUUAAGGUUACUUUGGUUAUAGUUGGAAGUUACGGUGUUGAGAAACUUUUGAAUCAUUAGUUCCGCUGAAAGAUUCUAUCCUUGUCUAAUCUAAAUGGCAAGGUGGCUUUUGGGAGAUUGUUCUCGGAAGUAGCAUGGAUUGCCUCUUUUCAGAGACAGUAGAUGCUAGCAAAAGUUGAAUAUAAUAUAACUACAACUCAAUCGUCAAAAAAUGCAGAGCUUGGGAAGGGUUUUGUGUGAUUACUUGUGAUAAAAAAAUUGAUGCUAACCGAAUAUCAAAAUGCAUUCAUACGAAGGUUGAAUUAGAUGGGAGAACACUCAUUCCUCAAGGGGAAUGAAAAGAUUACAAUUCUAUGGGGUAGCAAUUCGGUCAGAUACAAGGGCAAACGAUGUAUUCUGGAGAAGCAUGUGAUGGUGAAGAGUGCAAGGGUGACACUAAGUCAUUUCUGGAUAUUUUGAUUCUGCGCUAGAUCUUGCAACCACGCUUCUGUUCUUGCAGGUCCAAGAUACAAUUUUUUACCAAACAAACAUCAAAUUAUAUUCUGGGAGUCUUUGUCUGAUUGAGAACCCACCAAUCAACAUCCAUUACCACUAUACUUGAUGAUGUUCAUGGUCAAAUUAUAGCGAACCAUGCCAUGGGGCACAUUUGAGAUUUCGUGGGAUACUUAUGAUUUCAUCAUGGAGUGUGCAUAUAUAUAUAUAUGUCUCCUACCUUUUAUUUUCUAGGUAUGAUGAUUUCUGAUUGCCGUUUACAAUUUAAUGAACUUUAAUGUGGCUGUGAUUGUGUUGCAUUCCAACCUUUUUCUAUAUGAUUCUUUGAGAGGGAGUUACACUUAUCCUUCAGUUAUAUAUAAUAUUUAUUGAGCCUAAGUCCUUAUUAAUUAUUAUGGUUACUUUGGUUAUAGUUGGAAGUUACGGUGUUGUGAAACUUUUGAAUCAUUAGUUUCCCUAAAAGAUGAUAUCCUUAUCUAUUCUAAAUGGCUAGGUGGCUUUUGGGUGAUUGUUCUUGGAAGUAGCAUGGAUUGCAUCCUUUGAGAGAGAGUUAUAAUUAUCCUUCUGUUGUUAUAAAUAAUAUUUAUGUAGCCAGAGUACUUAUUAUGAUUACUUUGGUUGGAAGUUAUGGUGUUGAGAAAAUUUUGAAUCAUUACUUCCCAUAGAAGAUUCUAUCUUCAUAUACUCUUGCAAGCUGGCAGGCAUUCUAUUCUCUUUAACUUGUUCUAUUGUGAGUACUUGAGAUUCAAGUUAGUGUUUCUCCAACUUUACUUGAAUAUGAGCAACUCUUGUAAUUUCUGGUAAUUUGAUAUCUGAUAUGUUUUCCUUGCCCUGAAACAUGCCUGGGUUGAAGCUUGGUUUGAUUAUAUUUUGAAUUAGAUUCCUUGAUAGAUGGCAUGUUUUCUGUCAAUGAAAAAGAAGUUGCAUAUUUUAUAAGGUAUGCUAUGGGUUGGAUCAUAUUGCUCUGGUGGUAAGUCUCAAUAUGUUUUGUAGCUUAUUCAAGAUGGGUAUAGAUGUGUUUAAUUUUAUUCGGUAGACAACAUGUGAUGUGCUGCAAGAUGUCGAAGAUUUUUUUUUCUUCCCCUCACAAUUAUUAAUGGUCUCAUCAAUUUGGAAGUUAUUGCCAGCGCGUUUUCUGUCACCUAAUAGAUUUGGUAGCUUUGAGCUGAAGAAUCACUUGGAUUUUCGUAGAUAUUAUUAAGUGGUGUCCUGGUGCCAUCUUCCUUGCCUUGUCCAAAGGCCAUUUUUUUUGAGUGUGAAAAGGCAAUUGUAUGUAUCAUGAAGUUGGUUCCUCGAAAUUGAAUGGAUUUUGCAUUAAUAUGCAGAUGGACCUCCUUGUUUUGUUCGCUCCUUGAUUUUGUUGUAACUACGUGGCAUUUGCAGUUAUUAUUGUGGGGGAAUCUGUUGCUCGUCAGUUUGCUUUUGGACAAAAUAUUCACUUUUAUUAAUUUUCCCAUCAUUAUUUGUAGAGGUGUCUCCAGUUCCUUAUAAUUAAUCUUCCCAUCAUUCCGGGGAUGCGUUUGGCAGAUAAACUGUUUAGAAAUAUUUGGAUCAUUGGUUGCCAGUAAUAAUUUAGUCGUCAACUUCCCUCGGUGAAUUGUAUUUUUUGUCCUUAUUCUCUCAUGACCUUACCUUGUAUGUUGUUGUUUAUAUUGGAAGUACUCUGGCAUUUUCAUGCUUAUAGUUCUUGUAGCCAUGUUAUUUCCUUGGUUGAGCGGAGCAAAAACUAGCGAUGGUGCAAUGCUUCUCAGAUUGUGUUAUUUUAUAUAAAACUUCUGUUUCUGAUAGCAAUUAACAGUAACUUACUUCACAGGGUGGAAUUUAGUUUGAUACAUCUCUUUAGUAGCAAUGUCCUCUUAAGGGUAGUGAGCUGGCUAACAGUAAGGUGAUUUGGUUUCUCCAGUUUAUGUGGUGCCUUUUCAAUUAUGAUUUUUUGAAUCUUGUUGUUGACAACUAGCUUGCUAUAUGAGUUUUGUUAAUGUUAGCUGUUUUAUUGCCUUAAAUUUUGGCAAUAUGUUGUUGCAGCACUAUGACAUGGCAUAAGAUUUCCAGAGUAGUUAUAUUUUCAUCAAUGGUCUCAUCAAUGAUGAAGUUAUCGUCUGAAUUAUAAGAUAUUGACAAUGCUAUUUGAUGGUUUUAUGUAGCUUCAUGUGUUGUUUUUUAUUUCACAAUUGUAGUGUCGUAUGGAUUCUCAUUUAAUGUUUUUAUGGGGUCCUUGUGUUUCAGCUUUGGUCAAGUGCUAAACCAAGUCGUGGUGUUUACCUUUGGCAGUAAAGUUGAUCUCGAAAUUUGUGGCUUUGUUGUUUUAACAUGAAAGAUUCAAUCAUCCUCUCUAGAAGUUUGAUGUUCUCUAGUUUUGUUCUUUUAUGACCUUGCUUGAGAUUCAAUUGUAGUUUUUUUGUGGAAUGCUCGAAAUUCUCAUGACUUUGAGAAGGGUUGAUGUGAGGUGACUAGUUUCGUUGUCUUCUUGAAAGUGGCAUGGGAUAGAAUUAUCUGAGAGGGAGUCUGUACUUACCCUCUUCUUUUACCCUACUGCUUGGAUGCUUACUUGUGCUUUAAGAAAACUAUCUUUCUUUCUUUUUUUUUUAUUACACUAGUUUCCGAAACAAAGCGUUCAUGAUGUGAUGACCGCAAAUGUAUUCCGACUCGCUGAGAGUGAAACAACCGAUCUUUCUAUAUAUUUUCUAUAGAAGAACCUUGAGCUUUGAAGCAAGUGGUCUAUGUGCAUGUGUAAGCAAUGCGGUGUAUUUCUAUGUUGAUUCACAUAUGCUACUCGUUGCAUUUGUUCCGCGGACAUUGUUAGGUUCAGCUGCAUGGUGUUCGUUAUGAUCGUGUGAGAGGAGUUUAGAACAUCCUGAAGUCCCAACUAAGUGUGCUGAUGUGGUGGCGUGUUUGUUAUCCGAUAUUACUCCUGUUAGUUUCUUUUCAGUACAUCAAGUAGUGGCGGGUCUUCUCAUCACUCACUUAAAGUUCCUCACUGUGACAGCAGAAUGUGGUUGUGAAUAAGCUUAAGAAAUAUGAUUCACUUCAAUCAAGAAUUAUUUAUACAUCCUUUUACUUUUGUUUCAGGGCCCAAGGUCUCUCUGCAAUUACUUCCUUUUAUAUACUUAAUCGUCUUCUCCAGGUUCGUUGGUUGUACAAGCUUGAUUAAUGCUGUUACUGGUGGUAUAUUAUAUCUCUUUAUGAAGUUUAGCUUGGGAAAUGCUACUGAAGAGGGAAAGGUUGGCAGCACUAAUAUUUCUAAUUCUCUUCCCAACUGUUUCAAUAAUUUAAUGGAAUCGAUACUUAAUUGUUGUGACCCUAUACUGGAGCAGGUUGCUAACAUUCCUGGGACGCCUUUGGCAGAUAAACUGUUUAGAAAUAUUUGGAUCAUUUGUUGCCAGUAAUAAUUUAGUCGUCAACUUCCCUCGGUGAAUUCUAUUUUUUGUCCUUAUUCUCUCGUGACCUUACCUUGUAUGUUGUUGUUGUUGUUUAUAUUGGAAGUACCCUGGCAUUUUCAUGCUUAUAGUUCUUGUAGCAAUGUUAUUUCCUUGGUUGAGUGGAGCAAAAGCUAGCGACGGUGCAAUGCUUCUCAGAUUGUGUUAUUUUAUUAUUAUACAAAACUUCUGUUUCUGAAAGCAAUUAACAGUAACUUACUUCACAGGGUGGAAUUUAGUUCGAUACAUCUCUUUAGUAGCAAGUAGCAACGUCCUCUUAAGGGUAGUGAGCUGGCUAACAGUAAGGUGAUUUGGUUUCUCAAGUUUAUGUGGUACCUUUUCAAUUAUGAUUUUUUGAAUCCUGUUAUUGACAACUAGCUUGCUAUAUGAGUUUUGUUAAUGUCAGCUGUUUCAUGGCCUUAAAUUUUUUGUGGAAUGCUCGAAAUUCCUAUGGCUUCAGUAUAUGCAACCUUGUUUUAGAAGGGUUGAUGUGAGGUGACUGGUUUUGUUGUCUUCUUGAAAGUGGAGUGGGAUAGAAUUAUCUGAGAGGGAGUCUCUACUUACCCUCUUCUUUUUGUUUAACCUACUGCUUGGUUGCUUACUUGUGCUUUAAGCGGAUUGUCUUUUUUUUUUUUUAUUACACUAGUUUCCGACACAAAGCGUUCCUGAUGUGAUGACCGCAAAUGUAUCCGGAUUUGCUGUGAGUGAAACAUCCUAUCUUUCUUUAUAUUUUCUAUAGAAGAACGUUGAGCUUUGAAGCAAGUGGUCUAUGUGCAUGUGUAAGCAAUGCGGUGCAUUUCUAUGUUGAUUCACAUAUGCUACUCGUUGCAUUUGUUCAGUGGACAUUGUUAGGCUCAGCUGCAUGGUGUUCGUUAUGAUCGUAGGAGAGGAGUUUAGAACAUCCUGAACCCAACUAAUUGUGCUGAUGUUGUGACGUGUUUGUUAUGCGACAUUACCGGUUAGUUUUUUCUUUUCAGUACAUGAACUAGUGGCGGCUCUUCUCAUCACUCACUUAAAGUUCCUCUCUGUGACUGCAGAAUGUGGUGGUGAAUAAGCUUAUGAAAUAUGAUUCACUUCAAUCAAGAAUUAUUUAUACAACCUUUUGUUUUUGUUUCAGGGCCCAAGGUCUAUCUGUAAUUACUUCUGUUUAUAUACUUAAUCGACUUCUUCAAAUCGUUGGUUAUAAAAGCUUGACUAAUGCUGUUACUGGUGGUAUAUUAUAUCUCUUUAUGAAAUUAAGCUUGGGAGAUGCUGCUUAAGGGGAAAAGGUUGGCAACACUAAUAUUUCUAAUUCUCUUCCCAACCGUUUCAAUGGUUUAAAGGAAUUGGGCCCAAGGUCUGUCUGCAAUUACUUCCUUUUAUAUACUUAAUCGUCUUCUUCAGGUUCGUUGGUUGUAAAAGCUUGACUAAUGCUGUUACUGGUGGUAUAUUAUAUCUCGGUAUGAAAUUAAGCUUGGGAAAUGCUACUGAAGAGGAAAAGGUUUGGCAGCACUAAUAUUUCUAAUUCUCUUCCCAACUGUUUCAAUGAUUUAAUGGAAUUGAUACUUAAUUGUUCUUAGUUUGAAGAGACAGAAUAACUUGAUGCAGACCAUCUGUUUAUCAUCAACUUACCAAAAAAAGGUAUUCAUCAUCAAAUUCUCAUUCUAAAAGCUACCACAAGGAAAAUGAUAUACAUACGGAAAGGUUGGUAGAUAUUCUUCUUGAUCUAAUAGAUGUUGUCUUUAACUUACUGACUGCUUAUGUAUAUAGCUAUGUUGUAGAGACUUUUUUGCUUAUUAUAUUAUAUUACUUGUUAAACUAUUGAGUCUUGAUAUGGUUUAUGAGUCAUCUUGGGUCAAUUUUCUGCCGUUGCCUUUUCUGCCACCUUUGACAUCUAUGAUGUCGGUGUCUUGUUUAGUUGAGUUGCUGUAAUAUCUAUACAUGCUAUUAUACUUUAUUUACCUACAUUCUGUGGAGUGUGGUGAGACGACUUUAGCACGGGAAUAAGGUGAGAAGCACUGAAUGGGCAGGUCUGUUUAAAUUUGGUGCUUUUCGUGAAAUACACUAUCUUGAGGAAACUACUAUUUCCUGGAGCCUUCAUUGUACAUUUGGUGUGGAAUUUCAAAAUUGAAAAAUAAUGAAUGAACCCUGAGAGUGAAAUUUAGAAUGAGGAAUAAGUGAAAAGCACUCUAUGGGCAGGUCUGUUUAUGUUUUGUGCUUUCAUGAAAUAUGCUAACUUGAGGAAAUAACAUCUAUUUUCUGAAGCCUUUGCUGUGCACUUGGCUUGAAAUGUCAAAAUUCACAAAGAUUUAGUGAACGGUGUGAGAAGCUUUGGCAUGGGGAAAAAGUGAGAAGUAGGGUAGGUCCGUUUAAAUUUUGUGCUUUUCAGAAACACACUAAAAUUAGGAAACAUCUAUUUUAUGGAGCCUUUUGAUGUACUGGAAUUUCAAAACUGAAAAAUAAUGAAUGAACGGCAAGACAGGGCCUUGGCAUGUGGAAAAAGUGAGAAGCACUCAAUGGGUGGGUCCAUUUAAAUUUUGUGUUUUUCAUGAGGAAACUACUAUUUUCUGGAGUCUUUGUUGUAGACUUGGCUUGAAAUUCAAAUCUCAAAAAAAAUGAAUGAACUGUGAGAUUAUUUUGGCAUGGGGCAAACAUGAGAAGCAUUUAAAGGGCAGGUCUGUUUGUAUUUUGUGCUUUUCAUGAAAUAUGCGAACCUGAGGAAAUACCAUCUAUUUCUUGGAGCCUUUGUUGUACACUUGGCUUGGAAUUUGAAAACUGAAAAAGAUUGAAGGAAUGGUGGGCAUGGAUAAAAAGUGAGAGGCACUCAGUGGGUAGGUCCGUUUAAGUUUUGUACUUUUCAUGAAACACACUAACCUCGGGAAAUAGCAUCUAUUUUUUGGAGCCUUUGUUGUACAAUUGGCCGGUAAUUUCAAAACUGAAAACAAUUAGAGAGGACUUUAGCAUGAGGUAAAAGUGAGGAGCACUCAAUGGGCAAAUGAUGAAUCAUUAGUAUUCUGGAGAAGCAUGUGAUGGUGAAGAGUGCAAGGGUGAUACUAAGUCAUUUCUGGAUAUUUUGAUUCUGCGCUAGACCUUGCAACCACGCUUCUGUUCUUGCUGGUCAAAGAUACAAUUUUUUACCAAACAAACAUCAAAUUAUAUUCUGGGAGUCUUUGUCUGAUUGAGAACCCACCAAUCAACAUCCAUUAAAACACUGUACUUAACAAUGUUCAUGGUCAGAUUAUUGCGAACCAUGCCAUGGGGCACAUUUGAGAUUUCGUGGGAUACUUAUAAUUUCAUCGUGGAGUGUGCAUAUAUAUAUAUAUAUGUUUCCUACCUUUUAUUUUCUAGGUAUGAUGAUUUCUGAUUGCCAUUUACAAUUUAAUGAACUCUAAUGUGGCUGUGAUUGUGUUGCAUUCAAACCUUUUUCUAUAUGGUUCUUUGAGAGGGAGUUACACUUAUCCUUCAGUUAUAUAUAAUAUUUAUAGAGCCCAAGUCCUUAUUAUGGUUACUUUGGUUAUGGUUGGAAGUUACGGUGUUGUGAAACUUUUGAAUCAUUAGUUUCCCUAAAAGAUGAUAUCCUCAUCUAUUCUAAAUGGCUAGGUGGCUUUUGGGUGAUUGUUCUUGGAAGUAGCAUGGAUUGCAUCCUUUGAGAGAGAGUUAUAAUUAUCCUUCUGUUGUUAUAAAUAAUAUUUAUGUAGCCAGAGUACUUAUUAUGAUUACUUUGGUUGGAAGUUAUGGUGUUGAGAAAAUUUUGAAUCAUUACUUCCCAUAGAAGAUUCUAUCUUCAUAUACUCUUGCAAGCUGGCAGGCAUUCUAUUCUCUUCAACUUGUUCUAUUGUGAGUACUUGAGAUUCAAGUUAGUGUUUCUCCAACUUUACUUGAAUAUGAGCAACUCUUGUAAUUUCUGGUAAUUUGAUAUCUGAUAUGUUUUCCUUGCCCUGAAACAUGCCUGGGUUGAAGCUUGGUUUGAUUAUAUUUUGAAUUAGAUUCCUUGAUAGAUGGCAUGCUUUCUGUCAAUGAAAAAGAAGUUGCAUAUUUUAUAAGGUAUGCUAUGGGUUGGAUCAUAUUGCUUUGGUGGUAAGUCUCAAUAUGUUUUUGUAGCUUAUUCAAGAUGGGUAUAGAUGUGUUUCAUUUUAUUCGGUAGACAGCAUGUGAUGUGCUGCAAGAUGUCGAAGAUUUUUUUUUCUUCCCCUCACAAUUAUAAAUGGUCUCAUCAAUUUGGAAGUUAUUGCCUGUGCGUUUUCUGUCACCUAAUAGAUUUGGUAGCUUUGAGCUGAAGAAUCACUUGCAUUUUCAUAGAUAUUAUUAAGUGGUGUCCUGUGCCAUCUUCCUUGCCUUGUCCGAAGGCCUUUUUUUUAGUGUGAAAAGGCAAUUGUACGUAUCAUGAAGUUGGUUCCACAAAGUUGAAUGGAUUUUGCAUUAAUAUGCAGAUGGAACUCCUUGUUUUGUUCGCUCCUUGAUUUUGUUGUAACUACGUGGCAUUUGCAGUUAUUAUUGUGGGGGAAUCUGUUGCUCGUUGGUUUGCUUUUGGACAAAAUAUUCACUUUUAUUAAUCUUCCCAUCAUUAUUUGUAGAGGUGUCUCCAGUUCCUUAUAAUUAAUCUUCCCAUCAUGGCAUCAUUCCGGGGAUGCGUUUGACAGAUAAACUGUAUAGAAAUAUUUGGAUCAUUGGUUGCCAGUAAUAAUUUAGUCGUCAACUUCCCUCGGUGAAUUCUAUUUUUUGUCCUUUUUCUCUCGUGACCUUACCUUGUAUGUUGUUGUUUAUAUUGGAAGUACCCUGGCAUUUUCAUGCUUAUAGUUCUUGUAGCUAUGUUAUUUCCUUGGUUGAGCGGAGCCAAAACUAGUGAUGGUGCAAUUCUUCUCAGAUUGUGUUAUUUUAUACAAAACUUCUGUUUCUGAUAGCAAUUAACAGUAACUUACUUCACAGGGUGGAAUUUAGUUUGAUACAUCUCUUUAUUAGCAAUGUCCUCUUAAGGGUAGUGAGCUGGCUAACAGUAAGGUGAUUUGGUUACUCAAGUUUAUGUGGUACCUUUUCAAUUAUGAAUUUUUGAUCUUCUUGUUGACAACGAGCUUGCUAUAGGAGUCUUGUUAAUGUUAGCUGUUUUAUUGCCUUAAAUUUUGGCAAUAUGUUGUUGCAGCACUAUGACAUGGCAUAAGAUUUUCAGAGUAGUUAUAUUUUCAUCAAUGAUGAAGUUAUCGUCUGAAUUAUAAGAUAUUGGCAAUUCUAUUUGAUGGUUUUAUGUAGCUUCAUGUGUUGUUUUUUUAUUUCACAAUUGUAGUGUUGUAUGGAUUCUCGUUUCAUGUUUUUAUGGGGUCCUUGUGUUUCAGCUUUGGUCAAGUGCUAAACCAAGUCGUGGUGUUUGCCUUUGGCAGUAAAGUUGAUCUUGAAAUUUGUGGCUUUAUUGUUUUAACAUGAAAGAUUCAAUCAUCCUCUCUAGAAGUUUGAUGUUCUCUAGUUUUGUUCUUUUAUGACCUUGCUUGAGAUUCAAUUGUAGUUUUUUUGUGGAAUGCUCGAAGUUUAAGGGUUGAUGUGAGGUGACUGGUUUCGUUGUCUUCUUGAAAGUGGAGUGGGAUAGAAUUAUCUGAGAGGGAGUCUCUACUUACCCUCUUCUUUAUUUUUACCCUACUGCUUGGUUGCUUACUUGUGCUUUAAGCGGAUUGUCUUUUUUUUUUAUUACACUAGUUUCCGAAACAAAGUGUUCCUGAUGUGAUGACCGCAAAUGUAUCCCGACUCGCUGUGACUGAAACAUCCGAUCUUUCUAUAUAUUUUCUAUAGAAGAACCUUGAGCUUUGAAGCAAGUGGUCUAUGUGCAUGUGUAAGCAAUACGGGUGUAUUUCUAUGUUGAUUCACAUAUGCUACUCGUUGCAUUUGUUCAGCGGACAUUGUUAGGUUCAGCUGCAUGGUGUUCGUUAUGAUCGUAUAAGAGGAGUUUGGAACAUCCUGAAGUCCCAACUAAGUGUGCUGAUGUGGUGACGUGUUUGUUAUCCGAUAUUACUCCUGUUAGUUUCUUUUCAGUACAUCAAGUAGUGGCGGGUCUUCUCAUCGCUCACUUGAAGUUCCUCUCUGUGACUGCAGAAUAUGGUUGUGAAUAUGGUUCUUUUCAGUACAUCCUUUUAAUUUUGUUUCAGGACCCAAGGUCUCUCUGCAAUUACUUCCUUUUAUAUAGUUAAUCGUCGUCUUCAGGUUCGUUGGUUGUAAAAGCUGGACUAAUGCUGUAACUGGUGGUAUAUUUAUAUCUCUUUAUGAAAUUAAGCUUGGGACAUGCUACUGAAGAGGAAAAGGUUGGCAGCACUACUAUUUCUAAUUCUCUUCCCAACUGUUUCAAUGAUUUAAUGGAAUCUAUACUUAAUUGUUGUGACCGUAUACUGGAGCAGGUUGCUAACAUUCCUGGGUCGCGUUUGGCAGAUAAACUGUUUAGAAAUAUUUGGAUCAUUUGUUGCCAGUAAUAAUUUAGUCAUCAACUUCCCUCGGUGAAUUCUAUUUUUUGUCGUUAUUCUCUCGUGACCUUACCUUGUAUGUUGUUGUUUAUAUUGGAAGUACCCUGGCUCAUGCUUAUAGUUCUUGUAGCAAUGUUUUUUCCUUGGUUGAGCGGAGCAAAAACUAGUGAUGGUGCAAUGCUUCUCGGAUUGUGUUAUUUUAUACAACACUUCUGUUUCUGAUAGCAAUUAACAGUAACUUACUUCACAGGGUGGAAUUUAGUUCGAUACAUCUCUUUAGUAGCAAGUAGCAACAUCCUCUUAAGGGUAGUGAGCCGGCUAACAGUAAGGUGAUUUGGUUUCUCAAGUUUAUGUGGUACCUUUUCAAUUAUGAUUUUUUGAAUCCUGUUAUUGACAACUGGCUUGCUAUAUGAGUUUUGUUAAUGUCAGCUGUUUCAUUGCCUUAAAUUUUUUGUGGAAUGCUCGAAAUUCCCAUGGCUUCAGUAUAUGCAACUUUGUUUGAGAAGGGUUGAUGUGAGGUGACUGGUUUCGUUGUCUUCUUGAAAGUGGAGUGGGAUAGAAUUAUCUGAGAGGGAGUCUCUACUUACCCUCUUGUUUACUUUUACCCCACUGCUCGGUUGCUUACUUGUGCUUUAAGCGGAUUGUCUUUUUUUUUUUAUUACACUAGUUUCCGAAACAAAGCGUUCCUGAUGUGAUGACCGCAAAUGUAUCCCGAUUCGCUGUGAGUGAAACAUCCGAUCUUUCUGUAUAUUUUCUAUAGAAGAACGUUGAGCUUUGAAGCAAGUGGUCUAUGUGCAUGUGUAAGCAAUGCAGUGUAUUUCUAUGUUGAUUCACAUAUGCUACUCGUUGCAUUUGCUCAAGGGACAUUGUUAGGUUCAGCUGCAUGGUGUUCGUUAUGAUCGUAUGAGAGGAGUUUAGAACAUCCUGAACCCAACUAAGUGUGCUGAUGUUGUGACGUGUUUGUUAUGUGAUAUUACCCCUUAGUUUUUUCUUUUCAGUACAUCAACUAGUGGCGGCUCUUCUCAUCACUCACUUAAAGUUCCUCUCUGUGACUGCAGAAUGUGGUUGUGAAUAAGUUUAUGAAAUAUGAUUCACUUCAAUCAAGAAGUAUUUAUACAACCUUUUGUUUUUGUUUCAGGGCCCAAGGUCUAUCUGUAAUUCCUUCCGUUUAUAUUAAUCAACUUCUUCAAAUCGUUGGUUAUAAAAGCUUGACUAAUGCUGUUACCGGUGGUAUAUUAUAUCUCUUUAUGAAAUUAAGCUGGGGAGAUGCUGUUUAAGGGGAAAAGGUUGGCAACACUAAUAUUUCUAAUUCUCUUCCCAACCGUUUCAAUGGUUUAAAGGAAUUGGGCCCAAGGUCUGUCUGCAAUUACUUCCUUUUAUAUACUUAAUCGUCUUCUUCAGGUUCGUUGGUUGUAAAAGCUUGACUAAUGCUGUUACUGGUGGUAUAUUAUAUCUCGGUAUGAAAUUAAGCUUGGGAAAUGCUACUGAAGAGGAAAAGGUUUGGCAGCACUAAUAUUUCUAAUUCUCUUCCCAACUGUUUCAAUGAUUUAAUGGAAUUGAUACUUAAUUGUUCUUAGUUUGAAGAGACAGAAUAACUUGAUGCAGACCAUCUGUUUAUCAUCAACUUACCAAAAAAAGGUAUUCCUCAUCAAAUUCUCAUUCUAAAAGCUACCACCAGGAAAACGAUAUACAUAUGGAAAGGAGAAGAAUAUUUGCAUUUUUAUCCUCUGACAACCAUUGCCUGCUGCUAGCAUCUCUUUUGUUGCUGCUUAUUUUAGCAAAAAGUAAAGACCUUGAUUAUAAACUUGCUUCUUUGAUUGGAUUUGUUGGGUUGCAGCAUAAGAUGGUAUGUAUAAACUUCCACUUGCUUUGCCAAAAAAAGAAAGGAAUGUCUAACUGAAAAUGCCAAAAAAAGUUCCACAUAAGAUGGUUCCUUUUCAAUUUCCGUUUCAGUAUGUAUCGAUCUUAACAUUUUUGCUGGCCUUAAAUCCUGUAUUGAAUGUUUUAGCUAGUCAUCCACCAACCCCUGUAUUAGUGAUGGUUCUUGCAGAAGCUUGUGAAUUUUUAUGGAGUGAGGCUCAGAUCAAAACCUUCAUCUUUUAAUGAAAGAUUUUGUCUGAUUUUUUUCUACAUAUUAGAGGGACAUGUCCAUUAGGGUGAAAGGGAUGUUGAUAUUCUCUUGUGGCUCAUUUGAUUAGUUAAAUCAUGCGAAGUGAAACUCUAAUGCAAAUGGGUAUAGUUGUGUUUAAUUUUAUUCGGUAGACAGCAUUAGGGGUGUGAAUCGGUCGGUUUGGUUGGUUAUUUUACAUUGAGACACCCGGGCCGAAAUUUUGAUUUUCUUAGAUAUAAAAAACCGAUAACCAACGGUCACGCUUAUCUCGACAUGAAAACCGCCCAACGGUUUUCUGUUAUUAUGGUCGGUUUUUCGGUUAUUGGUCAAAUAUUUGGGCUUGAUACACUAACUUAGUAUACUAGCUAAAUAUGUGAAAAAUUAAAUAGUCAUUUGACCCUUGGCCAUAGGGCAUAUGUUGCACAUCCAAUAUCCAUAAUUCAAAGAA